rnacentral:rRNA from 1 species
GCCUGAUGCAGCCAUGCCGCGUGUGUGAAGAAGGCCCUAGGGUUGUAAAGCACUUUCAGUGGGGAGGAAAGGUUGUUGGUUAAUACCCAAUAGCUGUGACGUUACCCACAGAAGAAGCACCGGCUAACUCCGUGCCAGCAGCCGCGGUAAUACGGAGGGUGCGAGCGUUAAUCGGAAUUACUGGGCGUAAAGCGUGCGUAGGCGGCCACCUAAGUUGGAUGUGAAAGCCCCGGGCUCAACCUGGGAACUGCAUCCAAAACUGGGUGGCUGGAGUACGGG